rnacentral:rRNA from 1 species
AGCGAACGCUGGCGGCAGGCUUAACACAUGCAAGUCGAGCGGGCAUCCUUGUGGUGUCAGCGGCAGACGGGUGAGUAACGCGUGGGAACGUGCCCUUCGGUUCGGAAUAACUCAGGGAAACUUGAGCUAAUACCGGAUACGCCCUUCUGGGGAAAGGCUUGCUGCCGAAGGAUCGGCCCGCGUCUGAUUAGCUGGUUGGUGAGGUUACGGCUCACCAAGGCGACGAUCAGUAGCUGGUCUGAGAGGAUGAUCAGCCACACUGGGACUGAGACACGGCCCAGACUCCUACGGGAGGCAGCAGUGGGGAAUAUUGGACAAUGGGGGCAACCCUGAUCCAGCCAUGGCGCGUGAGUGAUGACGGCCUUAGGGUUGUAAAGCUCUUUUCUCCGGGACGAUAAUGACGGUACCGGAGGAAUAAGCCCCGGCUAACUUCGUG